rnacentral:pre_miRNA from 9 species
GAUGGCGAUCUAGCCCUUUAGUUUUGAGGUUGGUGUACUGUGUGUGAGUAUAUAUAUUUAUCACACAUAGGCAAUAUCUUUGAAAGUGAGGGUGCACGUC